rnacentral:rRNA from 1 species
GGCGGACGGGUGAGUAAUGCCUGGGAAAUUGCCCUGAUGUGGGGGAUAACCAUUGGGAACGAUGGCUAAUACCGCAUAAUAGCUUCGGCUCAAAGAGGGGGACCUUCGGGCCUCUCGCGUCAGGAUAUGCCCAGGUGGGAUUAGCUAGUUGGUGAGGUAAUGGCUCACCAAGGCGACGAUCCCUAGCUGGUCUGAGAGGAUGAUCAGCCACACUGGAACUGAGACACGGUCCAGACUCCUACGGGAGGCAGCAGUGGGGAAUAUUGCACAAUGGGCGCAAGCCUGAUGCAGCCAUGCCGCGUGUAUGAAGAAGGCCUUCGGGUUGUAAAGUACUUUCAGCAGUGAGGAAGGCGGAGUCGUUAAUAGCGGGCUCGUUUGACGUUAGCUGCAGAAGAAGCACCGGCUAACUCCGUGCCAGCAGCCGCGGUAAUACGGAGGGUGCGAGCGUUAAUCGGAAUUACUGGGCGUAAAGCGCAUGCAGGUGGUUUGUUAAGUCAGAU